rnacentral:rRNA from 1 species
UGGGGGAUAUUGCACAAUGGGGGAAACCCUGAUGCAGCGACGCCGCGUGGGUGAAGAAGCGCCUCGGCGCGUAAAGCCCUGUUCAGCAGGGAAGAAAAUGACGGUACCUGAAGAAGAAGCCCCGGCUAACUACGUGCC